UCCCUGGUGGCCCAGUGGUUAAGGACUCAGCAUUGUCACUACUGCGGCUUGGGUUCGAUCCCUGGCCUGGGAA
rnacentral:tRNA from 1 species